AAUAUACUCCCUCCGUCCGAAAUUACUUGUUGUAGCAAUGGAUGUAUCUAGACGCAUUUUUAAUUCUAGAUAUACCCAUUUCUAUCCAUUUAUGCAACGAGCAAUUCGAGACGGUGGGAGUACCAA
rfam:Triticum urartu cultivar G1812 contig345497, whole genome shotgun sequence.